rnacentral:rRNA from 1 species
GACGAACGCUGGCGGCGUGCUUAACACAUGCAAGUCGAGCGAUGAAGCUUCUUCGGAAGUGGAUUAGCGGCGGACGGGUGAGUAACACGUGGGUAACCUGCCUCAUAGAGGGGAAUAGCCUUCCGAAAGGAAGAUUAAUACCGCAUAAGAUUGUAAUAUCGCAUGAUAUAGCAAUUAAAGGAGUAAUCCGCUAUGAGAUGGACCCGCGUCGCAUUAGCUAGUUGGUGAGGUAACGGCUCACCAAGGCGACGAUGCGUAGCCGACCUGAGAGGGUGAUCGGCGACAUUGGGACUGAGACACGGCCCAGACUCCUACGGGAGGCAGCAGUGGGGAAUAUUGCACAAUGGGGGAAACCCUGAUGCAGCAACGCCGCGUGAGUGAUGACGGUCUUCGGGUUGUAAAGCUCUGUCUUUAGGGACGAUAAUGACGGUACCUAAGGAGGAAGCCACGGCUAACUACGUGCCAGCCGCCGCCGUAACAC